rnacentral:rRNA from 1 species
AGCGAACGCUGGCGGCAGGCUUAACACAUGCAAGUCGAGCGGGCGUAGCAAUACGCCAGCGGCAGACGGGUGAGUAACGCGUGGGAACAUACCUUUUGGUUCGGAACAACACAGGGAAACUUGUGCUAAUACCGGAUAAGCCCUUACGGGGAAAGAUUUAUCGCCGAAAGAUUGGCCCGCGUCUGAUUAGCUAGUUGGUGAGGUAAUGGCUCACCAAGGCGACGAUCAGUAGCNGGUCUGAGAGGAUGAUCAGCCACAUUGGGACUGAGACACGGCCCAAACUCCUACGGGAGGCAGCAGUGGGGAAUAUUGGACAAUGGGCGCAAGCCUGAUCCAGCCAUGCCGCGUGAGUGAUGAAGGCCCUAGGGUUGUAAAGCUCUUUUGUGCGGGAAGAUAAUGACGGUACCGCAAGAAUAAGCCCCGGCUAACUUCGUGCCAGCCGCCGCCGUAAC